UCUCUCUCUCACUCUCUAAGCCAUCUCUCACUCUCUAAGCUAGGGCUCUCUCAAAAAUUGGAGACGGUGGAGUGGUAACGGCGACGGUGAACGAUGGUAUUGAAGAACCCUCAAGGUGUGUUGCUGCAAAGGGUGAUGAGGCUGCUGCCUGCAAUAAAUUCUCAAAAUACUACCGUGCACAUUGCCCUGGUGAAUGGGCAUUUAAGGACAAAGUAUGGGGUCAGAAUGAUGAUGUUGCUUUGAAGAUUGUCAUUUUGUAUUUCGUUCAUUGAUUUAUUAUGUCUGGCAAGAUGCAUAUCGUUCGAGUUUCAAGACUUCAUUUUGAUGUGGUUGAGAAAGAACGGUUCAGUUGACUAUGAUAGUAGUGAGAUGAUAAUUAUUCCAUAGAAAGUACAAUGGGUUCUCUAUUUUGUUGGGUUUAGUUGAAACUAAAUAGUGUUCUCGACUUUGAGUUUUUGGUUCUGCUUUGGAACCAGAUUCUGAAAACUGUGUAGUUUUAUAUUUUUUCGAAUUAUGAUCUUGAUUUUGUUAUAAGUGGUAUUGUCUAAUGAAAACUACUUGUACACAUACUAAUGUGUUUAUAUUAGAUAGUGGAA